UCCACUAUGGUCCAGUGGUAAAACUUGCUGCAUUGUCGAUUUGACGAGUGCAGCAUGUCGGAGGUUCGAUUCCUUCGGGUGGCA